rnacentral:rRNA from 1 species
UACGGAAGGGGCAAGCGUUGUUCGGAAUCAUUGGGCGUAAAGGGCGCGUAGGUGGUUCUGUAUGUCUAUCGUGAAAGCGUACGGCUCAACCGUAUUUUGUCGGUAGAAAUUGCAGGACUUGAGGCUGGGAGGGGCUGGUGGAAUUCCCUGUGUAGCGGUGAAAUGCGUAGAGAUGGGGGAGAACACUCGUGGCGAAGGCGGCCAGCUAGACCAGUUCUGACACUGAGGCGCGACAGCGUGGGGAGCAAACAGG